rnacentral:rRNA from 1 species
UGAGGAAUUUUGCGCAAUGGCCGCAAGGCUGACGCAGCAACGCCGCGUGGGUGAAGAAGGCCUUCGGGUCGUAAAGCCCUGUCAGGUGGGAAGAACACCAUGGGGACGAACAAGCUUCAUGGCUGACGGUACCACCAGAGGAAGCACCGGCUAACUCCGUGCCAGCAGCCGCGGUAAUACGGAGGGUGCGAGCGUUAUUCGGAAUUAAUGGGCGUAACGCGCGUGCAGGCGGUUUGGCAAGUCGGAUGUGAAAGCCCCGGGCGUAACCGGGGAAGUGCAUUGGAAACUGCCGGACUUGAGUACUGGAGAGGAAGGGGGAAUUCCCGGUGUAGAGGUGAAAUUCGUAGAGAUCGGGAGGAAUACCAGUGGCGAAGGCGCCCUUCUGGACGGUUACUGACGCUGAGACGCGAAAGCGUGGGGAGCAAACA